AUUCAUAGAGAGAGGCGGAGACAAAAACAAAACAAAGAACAAUUGAAAGGCCAACACCAGGCUACCAAAAUUUGCAAUUCCAACAAGUUAUGAUAUUUAAUUCAUAAUGUUUCUGGCACAGUAGAUAAAUUCAACCUUAACAUCCUCGAAUACGCUUCCUUGUCCUAAUGUUCUCGAAUUCGAUGUACAUUAAGUCUCUGGUUCACCAACUCCAAUCACCAGACAUAUAAGCUGUGUGAUUUUGUUUAGGACAAUGAAGAUGAGAUACUGUUGCUGGGGUUUGAUGGAGUGCUUAGUAUUGGUGAUGGGGUUUUGGGGAUUGAGUUUUUGGGUCCUUAACCAGUGAUUGCCUGGCUCUAUAAAUGUACUUUUGGGGAUGGAGGAGUGAAGAAGAAUAUUGCAGUUACUCAGUUUGAAGCUGUGGAUGCAAUGCAGUGCUUUCCUUGCUAGGAUGAAGCUGCUCUUAUGAUGUGCAUAAUUGAGAAUUUCUCUUUACCCUUGAAAUAACUCGCCUUUCACUUAAUUAUUUAGAGCCUUGAAUCAAUUUAUCUUGAGUGACAAUCACUUGCACCGUCCCCUUCUCUGAACUAUAUGAUUUCCACAGCCAAUACCUGAAACACUUGGCUUUUUCCCUCAUUGAGUCUCUUGCUCAAAAAACUUCAUAAUAAUACAAAGACUGCUUCGGAUAACCUGCCGUCCUCUAUCCAUGGAUGU